AUUGAACGCUGGCGGCAUGCUUUACACAUGCAAGUCGAACGGCAGCGCGGGCUUCGGCCUGGCGGCGAGUGGCGAACGGGUGAGUAAUACAUCGGAACGUGCCCAGUAGUGGGGGAUAGCUCGGCGAAAGCCGGAUUAAUACCGCAUACGACCUGAGGGUGAAAGCGGGGGAGCUUCGGACCUCGCGCUAUGGGAGCGGCCGAUGGCCGAUUAGCUAGUUGGUGGGGUAAAGGCCUACCAAGGCGGCGAUCUGCAGCUGGUCUGAGAGGAGGACCACACACAGUGGGGGUGAGACACGGCCCAGACUCCUAAGGGAGGCAGCGGUGGGGAAUUUUGGACAAUGGGCGAGAGCCUGAUCCAGCAAUGCGGCGUGUGUGAUGACGGCCUUCGGGUUGUAAAGCGCUUUUGGCGGGAACGAAAAGCACUGUGCUGAUACCACGGUUCAAUGACGGUACCCGCAGAAUAAGCACCGGCUAACUACGUG
rnacentral:rRNA from 1 species